CAUGACACUAUGAGAUUGUGUCACAUCAUCACUUGAAAAUUAAAAUAUAUAUACAAAUUUUCAAGUGAUGACAUGGUACAAUUUUAGAGUGUCAC
rfam:Gossypium hirsutum cultivar TM-1 chromosome 9, whole genome shotgun sequence